UACGGGGGGAGCAAGCGUUGUUCGGAUUUACUGGGCGUAAAGGGCGCGUAGGCGGUCAGCACAAGUCAGUUGUGAAAUCUCCGGGCUUAACUCGGAAAGGUCAACUGAUACUGUGCGACUAGAGUGCGGAAGGGGCAACUGGAAUUCUUGGUGUAGCGGUGAAAUGCGUAGAUAUCAGGAGGAACACCGGUGGCGAAGGCGGGUCUCUGGGCCGAUAUUGACGCUGAGGAGCGAAAGCGUGGGGAGCGAACAGG
rnacentral:rRNA from 1 species